rnacentral:rRNA from 1 species
UACGUAGGUGUCAAACGUUGUCCGGAUUUAUUGGGCGUAAAGCGCCCGCAGGCGGCUCUGCAAGUUCCAAGUGAAAUCUCCCGGCUCAACUGGGAGGGGUCUUGGAAAACUGCAGGGCUUGAGGCAGGGAGAGGGAUGCGGAAUUCCAGGUGUAGCGGUGGAAUGCGUAGAUAUCUGGAGGAACACCAGUGGCGAAGGCGGCAUCCUGGCCCUGUCCUGACGCUGAGGGGCGAAAGCGUGGGGAGCAAACCGG